rnacentral:tRNA from 1 species
GUCCAACCCCUUCCCCUACUA